CCCUUAGAUGUUCUGGGCCGCACGCGCGCUACACUGAUGCAUUCAACGAGCCUAUCCUUGACCGACAGGUCCGGGUAAUCUUUGAAUCUGCAUCGUGACGGGGGUAGAUUAUUGCAACUAUUAAUCUUCAACGAGGAAUGCCUAGUAGGCGCAAGUCAUCAGCUUGCGUCGAUUACGUCCCUGCCCUUUGUACACACCGCCCGUCGCUCCUACCGAUUGGGUGUGCUGGUGAAAUGUUCGGAUCGGCCGUUUGUCGCGGUUUCCGCGUCAUGUGGCUGAGAAGUUCAUUAAACCCUCCCACCUAGAGGAAGGAGAAGUCGUAACA
rnacentral:rRNA from 1 species